rnacentral:rRNA from 1 species
ACGAACGCUGGCGGCGUGCCUAACACAUGCAAGUCGAACGGAACUGUUUUGAAAGAUUUCUUCGGAAUGAAUUUGAUUUAGUUUAGCGGCGGACGGGUGAGUAACGCGUGAGUAACCUGCCUUCAAGAGGGGAAUAACAUUCUGAAAAGAAUGCUAAUACCGCAUGACAUAUCGGAACCACAUGGUUUUGAUAUCAGAGAUUUUAUCGUUUGAAGAUGGACUCGCGUCCGAUUAGUUAGUUGGUGAGGUAACGGCUCACCAAGACCGCGAUCGGUAGCCGGACUGAGAGGUUGAACGGCCACAUUGGGACUGAGACACGGCCCAGACUCCUACGGGAGGCAGCAGUGGGGGAUAUUGCGCAAUGGGGGCAACCCUGACGCAGCAACGCCGCGUGAAGGAUGAAGGUUUUCGGAUUGUAAACUUCUUUUAUUAAGGACGAAAAAUGACGGUACUUAAUGAAUAAGCUCCGGCUAACUACGUG